CACGUAGGCGGUUUGGUAAGUCAGUAGUGUAAGCCUGUGGCUCAACCACAGGACUGCUAUCGAUACUGCCAGACUAGAGUACAGAAGAGGAGAGUGGAAUUCCACAAGUAGCGGUGAAAUGCGUAGAUAUGUGGAGGAACACCAGUGGCGAAGGCGACUCUCUGGUCUGAUACUGACGCUGAGGUGCGAAAGCUAGGGGAGCGAACAGGAUUAGAUACCCUGGUAGUCC
rnacentral:rRNA from 1 species